rnacentral:rRNA from 1 species
AUUGAACGCUGGCGGCAUGCCUUACACAUGCAAGUCGAACGGCAGCACGGGUGCUUGCACCUGGUGGCGAGUGGCGAACGGGUGAGUAAUACAUCGGAACAUGUCCUGUAGUGGGGGAUAGCCCGGCGAAAGCCGGAUUAAUACCGCAUACGAUCCACGGAUGAAAGCGGGGGCCCUUCGGGCCUCGCGCUAUAGGGUUGGCCGAUGGCUGAUUAGCUAGUUGGUGGGGUAAAGGCCUACCAAGGCGACGCUCAGUAGCUGGUCUGAGAGGACGACCAGCCACACUGGGACUGAGACACGGCCCAGACUCCUACGGGAGGCAGCAGUGGGGAAUUUUGGACAAUGGGCGAAAGCCUGAUCCAGCAAUGCCGCGUGUGUGAAGAAGGCCUUCGGGUUGUAAAGCACUUUUGUCCGGAAAGAAAUCCUUGGCUCUAAUACAGUCGGGGGAUGACGGUACCGGAAGAAUAAGCACCGGCUAACUACGUG